UUUUCACAAUGAGCCUGUGUUGCAUGGAUUGUUAGAUGGAUGUCUUCUAUGUGGCAGGUAUUUCCAUUGUAGGUAAUGGACAGACAGGCAGAAAAGGGAGACACACAAGAGCAUCGGUGGAGAUUUAUCUGGAUUGCUAGAGAACAGCUUGUGUAUUGCUGCAGCUCAGCCAGCAGGUCGGGCCCUGUUGGUGUUGUCUUUGUCUUUUGCAGAUUGGAAUGGAGCAGAAGAAGGAGACUCACAAAGGGAAUGAUGGAGAUAUAGUUGAAGACCUGGACCUCAGCAAACAGAUUGGCAUGGAGCAUGUGAAGAAACAGGGAAACACAGCUCAGUAAUGACAAGUGCAUUGUAAUAAAUUAGGUACUGUCGGCGCCAGUGGUGUAGUGGUUAGUGCGUCGACACACACUCUGGUGAUUGCGGCAACCUGAGGUCAAUUCCCGCCUCGAAAGCUCUAUUGAUGUUGUCAUUGUCUUUUACAGAAUAGAGUGGAAAAACUAGGGAAUCACACAUCUCAGCAAUGAUAAGACACUGGAAACAGGAAUUACCUAUCAAUGACAGAUGACCUGGAGCUCAGCAAGCAGACUGGCAUGGAGCAUGUGGAGAAACGGAAACACACCUCAGUAAUGACAAGUGCAUCGUAAUAAAUUAGAGUGGAGUGGAGGGAACUAGGGAAUCACACAUCUGGAGCUCAGCAAGCAUGUAGAGCUCUGUUAGUCCUGUCUUUGUCUUUUACAGACUGGAGUGCAGCAUGAGGAGAAAAACAAGAAUUACACACCUCAGCAUUGACUGGAAACUGAGGGUCAGGAAUAUCUUUUAAAAACAAGGUUUGGUCCAUGGAUGGAUGUCCUUCCAAGAGGAAGGGGGUGGUGGUGGGCUUAGAUUGUUAGAUGUCUUCUGUCUGUCUAAGCCUGGAGAUUUAUCUGAAAACAAGAAUUGCUGGAGAGCAGCUUGUAUAUUGCAGGAGCUCAGCCAGCAGAUAAGGCUCUGUUGGUGCUGUCUUUGUUUUUUGCAGAUUGGAGUGGAACUGAAGCAGGAGAUAAUGAAGAUUUUUAUUCUCUAAAAGUAUUCUCUAAAUGUGUGCAGCAUUUUAUGUUAUCUUAAAGCAAAAAUGCAAGACCCAAAAAAGGGUCUUUCUAAAUAAUAAUUAAAAAUGCAUCGCUCAAGGUCUCAAAACACUUUUCUGGUCAGUGAAGAUUGAGCAAUUCGGAAACCCACCAAAACCUCUCUGGCCAGAAAUCUAACCUGAUUAAUGCUUUCCCAAGUGUAUUUAAAUGUAUCUGAGUCUAUAUUGACUUAUGUUUUAAUCAAAGUUCUCAAAUAUGUUCUUUUAAUAAUGAUUUAUGUUAUCAUCUAGAAAAUUUUGUUUUAAGUUAUAGAUGCCACAAUAAAAAUGAGACAAAAUAUUUGGCCCACAUCAAAAAGUACAGUAGCUAACUUAUGAACCAUAAAGUACUUCAAUUAAUCUCUUGCUAUACUUAUAUUAUUAUAAAAUAUGCUGUGGUAGCCUAAUAAAACUAUUGUCUAACAUAAACAAUUUACCCAAUACUGGACAAAAUUAUCUACAAAUAUAGGUUACUGUAUAUUACAAAAAACGUACUGUAUUAACUGAGCCAGUAACAAACUGCUUUAAAUACUAUACUAUGUAACACACUUUACUAUGUUAAAAAUAGUAGUGUUCAUGAAGUACUAUAUUUUUUAAUGUGGGUGUUAGAAAAAGUGUCAGGAAGCGGUUGGGUGGUGUCAGUGUAAAGCUGGAAAAGCUACAAUACUGAACUGCGUAUUUUAAUUAUCUGUCUUACUGCAAUAUAAUUAAUCAGAGUCCAUUCCCUUUUGAGGAGAAAGAAUCUCCAAUUUCAUAGUUAUUUAUUGUUACAUGUUGAAAUUGACAGCAGAUUUGAGACAUUUAUCUAACGAUCUAUUGCUAUGCAGAAAAGCUUUACUGACGUAAGAACCAAUACUUUAGUGUUUUUGAACCAUAUUACAGUGCAUUAUACUCU